CCUACGGGGGGCAGCAGUGAGGAAUAUUGGUCAAUGGGCGAAAGCCUGACGCAGCGACGCCGCGUGAGGGAUGAAGGUCUUCGGAUCGUAAACCUCUGUCAGCAGGGAAGAACGGUCACUGUGCUAAUCAGCAGUGAAUUGACGGUACCUGCAAAGGAAGCACCGGCUAACUCCGUGCCAGCAGCCGCGGUAAUACGGAGGGUGCGAGCGUUAAUCGGAAUUACUGGGCGUAAAGCGCUCGUAGGCGGUAUGUCAAGUCAAGGGUGAAAGCCCCGCGCUCAACGUGGGAACUGCCUUUGAAACUGGCAAACUGGAGUGUGUGAGAGGAUAGUGGAAUUCCAGGUGUAGGAGUGAAAUCCGUAGAUAUCUGGAAGAACAUCAGUGGCGAAGGCGAUUAUCUGGCACAUAACUGACGCUGAGGAGCGAAAGCGUGGGUAGCAAACAGGAUUAGAUACCCCAGUAGUC
rnacentral:rRNA from 1 species